rnacentral:lncRNA from 1 species
GUGCUGUAUAGGUGAAGUGUUGAUUUGAUGUGUAUUUAUAUUAAAUUCUGACAUGUAGAUUUGUCUUUACAACAUCAUUUAAGUAUGUGAACUUGAUUGUCUUUAUUUAAAUAAGCUACCAAGAGGAGUCAAAGACUCGGGAUCGAACUACAGCAGAACCUAGAGCUUAGAAAUACCCUGUUUAAAAGGUUAAGUCAUUAACAUGACACUGUUAAUAUUAUUUUGGCUUGUUUUUUUUUGUGGUUGGAAUCUUUAAAAUAUCAUUUAGAUUGAUUGAUUGAUUGUUGGUUGCUUAACGUCCAGUGGCAAAUAUUUCAUGCAUAUUCAGGACGAGAACAAGUUCACAAUAAAUACAAUAGGUAGGUUAGUAUAAUUGAGGUCAUCUGGGAUGAUGGUCAGGGAAAUUUGGACUGCCACUGGAAAAUGA